rnacentral:tRNA from 1 species
GGUUGUGGCUCAGCGGUAGGAUGCUCACCUAGCAUGUGCGAGGCCCUGGGUUCGAUCCUCAGCACCA